UACGUAGGGUGCAAGCGUUGCCCGGAUUUAUUGGGCGUAAAGCGCGCGUAGGCGGCCUCGUAAGUCCGUUGUGAAAGUCAAAGGCUCAACCUUUGAAAGCCGAUGGAUACUGUGAGGCUAGAGUCCGGAAGAGGCGAGUGGAAUUCCUGGUGUAGCGGUGGAAUGCGCAGAUAUCAGGAGGAACACCAAUAGCGAAGGCAGCUCGCUGGGACGGUACUGACGCUAAGGCGCGAAAGCGUGGGGAGCGAACAGG
rnacentral:rRNA from 1 species